ensembl:lncRNA
CGGCUCUGAGUUUCAAGACUGACUUGAAUCUCCAGUGAGGCAACAGUCUGGAAAUUCAGGCCUCAUUGUGCCAGAAAGAAGUGUCUGAAUGCCACACCUCCCCUUUCAGACAAAGCGUCCGGCUCUGGGGACACAAGGCGCAGUAUAGGAGGGACGCUGGCCACGUGCGGACUGGGUCAGUGAUGGCAGGCUCAGAGACAGGCAGAGCCCGGCCUGAGCAUGGUUCUUCUUCUGUUUCUUCCCCAGUUGAGAGAGACCCCCGGGCGGGGAUGGAAACUCGUGGACACAACUUUUGGUUAAAUGUGGUGGAGUAGCCCAGGCAUUUACCUAAACCCCACUAAGCCAAUAGAGAAGGGGCAAGAGGACGGAGAGCAACAGAGGAAACAGCAGCCAAGGAGAGUCACCAGCAACACUUUGGAGAUGGAAAGCGGGUGGAGUUUUCCAAGUGGAGGAAAGUGAGGCCUAAGUACCUGGGUGGGCCAGGCCGAGGGAGAUAAGCUAUGGGACCCCUGGCACCAAGGCCCCGGGCCCUGGAGGGAGCGAGGGCUCCGGUGGCGAGGGCUCCGGUGGCGAGGGCUCCGGUGGCGUGGGCUGUGGCCUGGCCAUGUUUGCACAGCAAGCAGCGAGACCUCUAGGGCCUUCCUCUGCCCUCCCCACCCCAGACUGAGGUGACUCUGGAGAGGCUGAGGGUGGGAGGAGAGGCUUGAGAGCCCAUGUGGGAAGGCGAGGUCUGGCCCUUUCUCUGCUCCUCUCCUGGGAUGUUCCGCCCUCCAGCAGGAGGCUGGACAAUCCCACCCGAGGAAGCUGUUGGCUAGGAGGCCAGAGACACGGACGCUGACCCCUGGGGCUCCCCUAGUGAGGCUGUGGGCUGCACCCGGCUGCUCCACGUGAGGCACAUCCACAGCCAGGCCCUGCCCUCCCGCCAGAGUCUCCAGCCAGUGUUUUAAUGUUUUCCCCUCAAAUAUUACAUACGGCCCGGGGUCUAAUCUGAGAGGCAGAGACGGAGCGAACAAAGCAGACAGAAGGACUGGGGGAACCUGAGACGCAGGGAAGGUGAAGGCAGCACGGACCACGCCCAUGGCGCCCACCUAGAACCGCUGUCCUCAGCCAGACGGGAGGCCUCGCGUCCUCAUCACAGGAUGCCUCAGGAGGCCAGUUCAGAAGGAAGAGAGAGACAGAGAUGUGGAAACAAAGCAUCUGAUGGAAAGGUCGAGAGGGAAAGCUCUCCCUUGUCACUGCUCCUGCCAGGGCCCCACGCACUGGGCUGUCUCCCAUCGUCUCUACUUGUAGUGUCUCUACCUGUCUCUACUUGUUAUCACUCUCUGUCUCUGUGCUACUGUUCCCAGUGUGCUGAACCAGUUGGGGACACACGGGUUGAGGUCGCAGCUCUGUCCUCUCUGGGUUUGCGGGAGGAACCUAGCUUCUGCACUGCCAGGAAAUGUGUUGGUUCCCCGGGGAAGUCCCCCGUGUUCUCAGACUGCCCUCCCUCUCUCGGGCCUCGGGAAGUCCCCGGGGCUCCAGAUCAGGCACCACUGCACACUGAGGCCCCAGUCACUCCUGGCAGCACCCACCUCCCUUCCUGGCCCAUUCCCCCAACACCUGCCACCACCCCCUGAGCUCAUCUGGAGGUCUGAGGAGGGGAGGACAAGGAAGGGGCGUGGCCGCUGUGGCCGCUUCAGGUGACGCGGUAGAAGUGGCAUUUGUCCCGCACUGUCUGGGUGUGUAAGGAGACACUCGCCCCCCAAGGCAGCCCCUCUAAGUGUGCACUAUAGAUGGGGAGAAACCUCAGACUCCUGGGCGAAGCUGGGCAAGCACGGGGUCCCCGUGGGCUGCCUCUCCCUGAGGCUUUGGGCUGCCCUCCACUCAAACCUCCAACGGGGCCUGACUUGGUGGCACAACUGGACUCCACAAAGGGGGUGGGGGUGUCAUCCCUGAUGUGCUGUGUGCAAAGCUCCCACCAUGACCCUCAGCUGGCUGACUUGGCAAACCACAUUUCUACAACAAGGUAAACAGUGUUAUCGGCUCUGACUCUGCUGAACAGACACCGAGACCUGCGCUUUUGCGGGUGACAAGCAGGCGGUUUCUCCGCUGGGCAGGUGGGCCGCCAGCCAGUCCCAGCCCCUCUCUUUCCUGGGCAGGGAGAGCAACCGGCAUUCUGGACACAGCCGGUGCUGAAGUCUAGGCAGGUGCUGGGGGGUGGGGUUGACGCCUUUUCCAGGGACAGGGAUGUGGGUCCUGCUGGCUGCCGAGUCCUCAUCUUGGACUGUUGCACGGUCACUUGCUGCUCAGAGUCCUCCCACCCCUCAGAUUAGCGCCCAAGAGACAGCCAGUGCCUGCCCUGCGGUUCCACCCCCUGGGCCGUGUCUGCCUUUCCACCACCACCCUCCUGCUGUGCCCGACUGCAGACCUCACUUCUCCGAACAUUGCAGUGAGCAGGUGUCAACACUGUUCUUUUUCUUGGUGAAAUGGAAGGUCACAGCUGCACUCAGGCUUCUGACGUGGCAGCCUGGCAGUGACUGCCCUCCCUAGAGACCUGGGUUCUGGCCCCAUGGAGAUGACUGCAGGCUUCAGCCAGAGUAAGUGUUUAAUGAGUGUUGGAAGAAUUGGCUGAUCUGUGUUUGGUUCUUUAAAAUACAUCAUCCGAGUCUCUUUCUUUCAUGUAUGUUUCAGCCGCUGCCUUUUGUUGUUGCUGAGCAUCCUUCCUCCUGAGCCCCUGGUCCUUGGGCGAUGUUCCCCUGAGGGCAGAGAGCCUCCUGGGCCGUCAGCCGGGGCUGACUAGGGGCUGAGGACGCAGAGCCUGGACUCUGAGUCACUUCUGCCUGGGUUACGGCCAGGCUUCUGUCUGAAAGUCUGGGAAAGCCCAUUCGUUCAUUCAGCAAACAUUUCUCAGGCUUGCUAGGGGGCACCAGAGGCACUGAAGGAGUGAUGUGGAGUCUAUAUUCUGGGCUCACACCCAGAUUUCUGGUCAGCUGGCAUCGUGGGAGGCUUGCAUCCCCACUCUGAUUCUCUGAUCAGCAGCUUAGAAGUGUCUCCAGACAGUUGUGGUGACCUCAGUCUCAGUAGAAAUUCUAAUUUCCACCUUGGGGGACACAGGCUGCCCCAGGGACCCCCAGCCCCUGGUGGCUGGGAGAGUUCCAGCUCUGCAGACCCCGAGGGCGCGACCACAGGAGGUCUGAUCUGUGCCUCUCUGAGCCAGGCCUCGUCUGUGUCAGCAAAUGGAGCGUGGCAAUUGGCCAAAUUAUUCAGAUAACGAGAGCAGAGACAUCCCUGUGUCCCAAGCAUAAGUAUUUCAGGGAAAAUGGGGCUUCUGCUGCUGGCAACAGAGAGAAAGCUCUAUGUCCAGAGGAGGUGGGGAGUGUUCAGUGCUUUGAGGGGCAGCUGGAGGCGGUGGCGGGGCAGAGCCUCUUUCCCAGAUUGGGCACCACUUGCCCGGACACCCAAUGCCCAGGGCUCCUCUGCGGGCUUUGGUUCCGGGCUCCUCUCUGUCUCAGCUCUCGGGGGAGGGUCAGGAAAUAAGAGAAAGGACAAGGUCAGUUUAGACAGGGCCCCGACCAAUCUCUUUGGGUCUGCAUCCCCAAAUGAACCUGUCAACUGAUGGAACCAGCAAUCAGGAUGAGCAGCGCGCCAGGAACCCGUCAGACGCUAAGUGGGAACACAUCUGUGGAUGAACACGGAAGCCGCUGCGGGCUUUCUCCUGUGAUGCCACAGCGGGUUUGGAUUUUGGGGACUCGCGACCGGCUGAGGCACUAUCCAAGGGCCACACUUCCCAACCCACUGUGGUGUCUCUGGAAAGGAAAUGAGUGCUCCCUUCCAGACGCACAGACCUGCCAGAGAAACCACGACAAACACGGAGGCGCCAAGAGCAGCGCUUGCAGAGGAAAAUCACAGAAACGGGCCCUGGCAGGUGCACAGACUCCUGUCUGGGUGACCGGUGGUCCCAGUCAUUUAAGUGGAAUGUUCGUCCUCCCUGUGGCAGUGAAUGGCUCCCACCUGUCCAGCCCAGGCCUGCGGGGUCCGUCAUGGAGCCUGAGGCCACAGCUGUCCCCACUGUGAUCUUCAAUGAUUACACAACGAGUAGUUGUCAACGCCAUGUUUAACUCACUAACCAACAACAGACCAUGUCCCCUGAACACCUGUGGACGUCCUGAUCUUCCCGGAAGUGUCCCCUGGGCCAGGCUGACCUGGCCGGGCCGCAGGGCUGGAUCCAUCUUGUGGCUCCAGAAGAAGAAGAAGAAAGAAAACUGGGGUAGCAGGAGUGUUUGAGGAGAAAAUCACUGAGAGUUCUCCAGAAUGAAUGAAAGAUGCUUGUUCACAGACUCAAGAGAUCCAGUAAAUUCCAAGCAGAAGGACUGAAAAUGCAACACAGUGAGUGGCCCCGUGGCUCAGAAGGUGGGGUCCAGGCCCACCCACCUGGGGCCGGCGCCGCGUGUCCAGUGGCUGUGCAGGGAUGCGGCCCACAGCUCAGAGGCUGACCCACGGAGGGUUGUUGCCUUUAGAGGGCGGCAGAGCUAUGGCCUGCAUGUGGGAGAGCUGGGGGGCAGGGACCACGUCUUGUGGGGUUCUUGAGCUUAAAGGUUGUGGAGAGGAGCUGCAGGCGGAGGCGACCGAGGAGAGAUGGCGCUGUGGGACCCCGAGCCACUCCAGCUGUGGCAGCAGCAGCAGCAGCAUCCCAUUCUGCCCCGCGGCAGGUAAGGAGGGCUGAAGCUGGCUGUUCAGUUCAGUGACCACAGGUCACCUUUGCGAGCGCCGCUUCUUAGAGACAUAAUAACUCUGAAUGACCCACUUUCUUUCGGAGAUUUAUUACAGCUUGUUGUUAUUUUAUUAUUACUGUCUGCAAUUUUCUCUUCUACUGCUCCUGGGAGCAGUAAGUUUAAAGUGCAGUCCUUCAGAAAAGGCUUGAAUUGGGCAUACAUCAUCAUCUCCGUAGAUGGCCUGCUCACAGUGAGCGUCGUCUCAAGGUUUAGAAGGGGACGCUGUGGCUGUUUCCACCCUGGCUGCCCCUUUUCGCACAGGUUGUUCCCUUGGGGGCUGCGGGGGUGGGUGUGUGCGUGUGUGUAUGUGCUCGUGUGCGGGUUGUGUGACCUUGGAGGUAACUUCAUUGCUCUAAGCCUGGGCGUCUUCAUCUGUUGGGGGCAGGGUGACGAGCUCUGCCUUGCUGGGCUCUGGUAGCUUAGCAUAUGGCUGGAUGGGAAGUGUCUGCAUUUUUCUGGGUGUUGGGCUGGAGUCUGGGAGACAGGCCAUGGCGUGUGUGCGUGACUGUCCUGGUGGCCUGGGAUGGUGGAAGGAUGACAAGGGUGGAGUCCUUUGCAUGUGCUGGAUCUGGAGAAACAGGAAGCAACGCUGUCAGAAGUAGGUGAGGUGUCACAGCCUGGCUCCUCUCUGCUGCCCUUGUGCCCUGAGUGUCACCUGCACUGAGACUUGGAAACUUGCCAGAAGCCACAGUCCAGGUCAGGACUGGCACUUGGUUCUUUCCCACCCUGGCUUCACGCGGUCUCCGAAGCACGAAGCAGAACCCUGAGAGCAGCACCUCGGUCAGCAGAGUGGUGACCAGAGCCCCCCGGCUGGUGCCUCAGUGGAUCUGACUGGUGACAGCUGUACACAACGUUAAAGAAGGGCUGACUGUUUCACCCUCCUCACCCCAAAAGCAUCUGGAGGAGAACCAGCUGUGCAUUCUCCCGUGACUCCAGGCUUGGCAGUACGCCCGGGCACCUGCCCUUGCCCCCAGGAACCCUGCCCUUAAAGAUGAGUGUUCGGCUGACCAGACGGCGACAAGUGCCCCUCCCUGGAGGUAGGUGGAGGGCUGACCGCUCCUGUGUGCUGAGGCAUUGCAAUUCCUGACUCCUCCCUUCAGUGAAUUGGGGUGGGGUACCAAUGCCAGGGGGUGGCAUAGCUUGUACAAUGCCCCUGGGAUUUGGGAGAUCCAAGGGAUAUGGGCACCCUACCCGAGCUGUGGAACUGGAUGGUGUUUGGAGGUGCCAUUAAUGCAACAAAGGGGAAAUGGUCAAACAAGACAGCAGUUACCAAGCUAAGGUGACAAGAGCAGACCAAGACCAGACACACUAGCCAGAGGCAGAAGGUCAGGGAAGCAUGAAUUUACAGUCACUUCCUCCACCAGGCGAGCUCCCGACAGGGAGGAGUGGGACUCUGAGGUGGGGCAUCUAGGUGAGGUCUUUAGGAAUGUUGGGCCCUAAUUCCCUGAGCCCUCUGGGACUGUGGCCACCCUGGAGGCCUGUACAAGGCAGAUGUCUGUCACUCUCUUUGGUGUCCAGCUCACCUCCUCCCCGGGCCACGAGGCUGCUUUCUCUGCCCUGAGCAGUGGCCUCCCAACUACCAACCUGUGAUGGUGCCCAGAUUCCCAGGUUCCCUCAGGGAAAUCAGUGGCAAUGACACUGCAUCACUUCCUCUGGGCUUGUGACACCUGCCCCUUGUUCUCAGGUGUCCCCCCAGCUCUGUCUCCCAGGCCGCCUCUGCUUUUUUGGGGGUUUCCUCACCCAACCCACACAGCCUCAGGAUUCAGCACAUGUUUCGGGGUAGCCCACCCUGCACUUGGCACCCCCACUCUGCCGUGCUGCAUUCCAGCACAGCAGGGCCCCAAAAGCACAGAGAAUGGCUGAGUCUCUGAAUAAGAUACAAACCGAAUACAUGGAACAGACAUUCUCAUCAACCACUGAUUACAUGUAAAGCUUCCCAGUGACUUUCGAGUCUUUGGGCCCUUUAGAUGGAAUGGGGAUGCAAGCUCUGGGUCCCUGGAAUGCCUUGGUGAUCCCACGUGGACGGCAGUCUGAUCGCAUAUUUGAUUUCCGUUCUCCCCUGAAAAUCCCCGGUCACCAGCACUUUCCUUGUGGGUGUGCAGUUCUCAACCUAGCACUGCUGGUGCUCAUUGACUGGCUUGUGAACAGCGCCUUCACUGGACACCCCAGAUCAACAUGCAGGUCCGAUGCCUGGGGGCCCACAUGGAAACGAGACUUGACAGUUCACACCGUGGAACUGUGUGGUGAGAAUUUUACCUCUUUCUUUUCUCUUUAGUCAUAUCGUUGAGUUACUUCUGUAAGCAUCAUCUACUCUUUAUUUUCUUGGUUCCCUCAUCAGCAUGGAGAGGAAGAAAAGGUGCCCAGGAUUCAGUGGGUUGACAUUUGCUGCUCGCGUAUUCUGAGAAUCUCCCCUGAGAAUAAAUCUAUUGCUUAUUAAAAAAAUAAAUUAUAAAGACUUCCUGGUAAAGAUGGUGUCAUGGACCCAGAUCUUAGAAUCUCCCUUCCCCAAUUCCUGAUGAGACUAAUAAAUAGUAGAAAAAAUUAGCAAAACAUUUUCCACUCUCAAAGACAGAGUUAUAAAUUCACACCACAGCAUUUGAGAACGGCAGCCAAGGAAAGCGGUAGAAGAUUCUCGUGCAGCAUCUAACUCCUUCACAGCUCCCCGGAGACUAUACUGGAAAACAAGAGUCAACAAAGUCCUAAUAGUUCUCACUUGAAUUCCCUAAUGUUGGGAGAGGUGGACAGACGGUGGGUGUACAGCCUGGAGAGAAGUUUCAAGAAAUCCUCAAAUUGGAGGCUCUUGCCAACCACGGUGCAAUCUCAAGGUCUAAGCAGAGGCAAGAAAAUUACCAAGUUUGACAUUUUCUAGGACUCCACGCUGAGUUAAGGAAAUGCCCAAACCAGUAUCCUGCCAAGCGGGCUGACACUCCCCUGAGUAACUGUGUGACAUUUAGCGCAAUCUCAGAAAAGACAGCAGAACCCGGGAAAUCCAAUACAGCCUCACAGAGCAAGAAGAAAGGGAAAUUUUAGAGACCUAAUAUCAAGUGAGUGCAAAAAUCAGCCCCUUUAUAGAACUAGAAAAUGAACUAGAAACAGAAUAUACACAGCUAAAAUUUAAUCAACUCUUCUGGAGGAAAGUCUUGAAAUAAUCGUUGUGAACACAUAGGAGCUGUACAGAGAUAUGAAAGCAAUUAGAAAAAACAUAAAAGAUUUGAUGGGUUGACUUAGAUGAUCCAAUAUGAAUAAAAUUUAUUAAUGUUAAUUAGAAAACCAAUCAAUGAACAGAGUUUUCAAAAAUGUAAUAAAAAAAUUCCUGAAGUUAAAGGAACCUGAAGUUAAAGAUUGAAGAUGCAUAACUAUGAAGUAGUCUAGAAAAAAUUCAUUAUUAAAUGGACACAUUAUUAAGCGGGCAUGUUUUGACUGAAUUAUUGAACUUUAAGUGAAAAGAAAAAUUAUUUAGGUUUUGAGGAAGAAAAUGAAAUUCAUAUACAAGGAGAAAAAAACCAGGCUGACUACAUACUUCUUAGCAAUAUUCAAUGUGAAACGACAAUUGAGCAAUUAUCUGGCGCGAUUAAAUUGUUACCCUAAAAUGUAAAGCCAGUAAAAUUGUUAUUAAGUCUAAAGGCAAUAGGAGGCAUUCUUUAAAAUCUCAAGAAAUAUAGAGCCAGUGAAUAUUUUAUUGAAAAAAAUAGUCCAGUGAAGCAAGUCAGUUGAUCCAAAGAUGAGUGAAGAGGCUAUGCUCAGGGUCGGAGGUCACUGGUCAGUGGAGCGAUGUCCAGAAAGUUCUGAGGGAAGGCGAGUGUGACCCAGGAAUUUUACACCCAGCCAACCUUUCUUUCAAAUACUAAAGCCGUAGACAGACAUUCUCAAGUGAGCAAACUGCAGAGAAGAAACCACCCAAGAAUCUUUCCUGAAAAAAUGUGACAGUGAAAUCCAGCCAAGCAGAAGAUGAAUAAAAACAGAGUGUAGAAAUGGACAAAAGAACUGGAGGAGUAUACUGAAUCCACGGAAAUAUAGUUCUAUAUGCAGGGAUUUCGAUGAUUGAGUUGAGGGUGAAUGCUAUAAAGCAGGAGAAAACAUAAAAUUAUCAAAAAUUUACAAAGAAGUGGGAGGUGGAGAUCACAGGUGGCGUAAGUGCAAUAUUCUCAUGGCUCCGAACUCCUAAUGUUUUGUGUGUUGUAAAAAAUGUUUUCGGAAUCCAAAUGAUCUUUUCUGGUGAAUAAACACUACUCGAGGUUCAGCAUUUAAUUGUUUCAUCCCAGUUUCUUUUUUAAUUUAUUUCAAGUAAAUUAAAUUUUAAAAAUUAAAUUAAAGUAAGUAUGUGUAGGAUGAAAAAAACUCAAUUUCUUUAUCUAUAAUCUGUCUAUAUCUAUCUUUAUCUAUCCAUCCAUCUAUUCAUCUACCAAUCUAUCUAUAUCUAUUAUGUAUCUACCUAUGUAUCCAUCCAUCAUCUACGUAUCAUCUAUCUACCUUCUAGCUGAGUGCAUGCAGUAUUUCCGUUUUGUAACACUGUAUCUGUCUAGCCUUCCUCUGUGCCUAUGUGUGCAUGCAGUGACAGAGAUUGAAAUCAUGGUAACUAUCAUUGUGUAUUAGUCUGAUGGGUCUGCCAUAUCAACCUACCGCAAACUGCGUGAAUUUAACAAUAGAAUUUUUUUUCUCACAGUUUGGAGGCUGGAAAGUCCAAGGUCAAGGUUCUGGCUGA